GACGAACGCUGGCGGCGUGCUUAACACAUGCAAGUCGAACGGAAAGGCCCUGCUUUUGUGGGGUGCUCGAGUGGUGAACGGGUGAGUAACACGUGAGUAACCUGCCCUGACUUUGGGAUAACUUCAGGAAACUGGGGCUAAUACCGGAUAGGAGCUCCUGCUGCAUGGUGGGGGUUGGAAAGUUUCGGCGGUUGGGGAUGGACUCGCGGCUUAUCAGCUUGUUGGUGGGGUAGUGGCUUACCAAGGCUUUGACGGGUAGCCGGCCUGAGAGGGUGACCGGCCACAUUGGGACUGAGAUACGGCCCAGACUCCUACGGGAGGCAGCAGUGGGGAAUAUUGCACAAUGGGCGGAAGCCUGAUGCAGCAACGCCGCGUGCGGGAUGACGGCCUUCGGGUUGUAAACCGCUUUCGCCUGUGACGAAGCGUGAGUGACGGUAAUGGGUAAAGAAGCACCGGCUAACUACGUG
rnacentral:rRNA from 1 species